rnacentral:lncRNA from 1 species
AUGAGGAUGCUGUACCAAGGUUGCAAGUUGCGCGGAGCACGCCGAGUCAGCCUGCUGCAGACAGGCAGGUCUGCAGAUGCCAUACCAAGGUUGCGAGUCAUGUGGAACAUGCCGAAUCAGCCUGCACCCUGGCAGCAAUCCACUGGACAGCCCGCCCCCCCCACUCCUCUGACCUCUUCUCUGUACAGCCACCUGGUUCCACACUACAAAGACGCAGAGGACACCGGACCACCAGACCACUGUACUGGACUCUGCUUCAGAAUCUGGCACCAGAGGCUGUUGGAAAAGAGGGAGCGGCACCAUGGAAGUUCAAGCACUAUGGCCCCUCACUUGGGAGGCCCUGGGAGGGGACCUAGAGGUGAUGUAUUUGUAAUUUUCCACUUGUUUCUUAGCAAAGUAGAACCGUGGGAGUGUCAGACCUUCCCCAACCUGCAUCACCCGAUGCAAGAUGCCCAUCGAGUCUCCACUGUAUCCCAGGCCUUUGAACACUCACUUGUGUGACUUUGUGACUUUCCUCCCACCUAGUGGUGCUUUCUGCAGCUUUUGGCAUUCCAUUUCCCUUUACCUUCAGGCUUCAUCUCUAGAGGCUUCCUGUGCUGUCACCCGCUGUGUACUGGGCUGGGCUCUGGACCCUGGGGAACUUUGUCCAUGGAAAUGUCCCCUGAACUUCAGGGAGGAGACCAGUUAGGCCAUGCAUCUGCGGAGGGUUAGGUCUCCUUGAGAAUGUGUGCUGGCUUCUGGUCAAGGGCGUCUCUGGAGGCAGAGGUGUGAGAAACUCCCAGGCAGGGCCGUGCAGCCCUCAGGGAUGGUCUAGAGGGCUGACCUGCAGGGCAUUGGUCUCUGAUCGCAGGUUCCCUUUGGGGACAGAUCUGAAGCUGUAGGUAUGUGCUGAUGCAAGCAAAGCUGGCAGUGUGUGAUGAAAAUACUGAAAAUGCCUUUGUUGUUACUUAAGCGAGAGCUCCAGGAUGGGAAGCCAGCCACACCUCUGGGCUUCUUGGAACUUGACAAGGAGAAUUGUGGCCUCUUCCUGGGGGAGGAGAGACUUAUCGACCUUGUGAAAAGUGAUCCUCCUGCCUCAGCCUCCCAUGUGCUGGGAUGACAGGCAUGCACCACCAUGCCUGGCUGUUUUUUGUUUAUUUGUUUGGUUUUUGAGGCACUGGAGAUUGAAACCAGAGCCUUCAUGCUGAGCUAAACUUUUAAUUUUAGUUUUUUUUUUUAUUUUGAGACAGGGUCUCAUUGAGCCAUUAUUUUGCCAGGCUGGGUCAAACUUGCCAUUCUCCUGCCUCAGCCCCGCCUCCCCCAGACUACUGGGAUUCCAGGUGUGUGCUACCACACUCAGCUUGCAUUCUUUUUUUGAAUGAAUAUUUUGGUGUCCUGUCUUAGGUUUAUAGAAGUAUAGUUUACAUGCAAGGAGAUUCGCUCUUGCUAGGAUUACAAUUCUCUGUGUUUCCACAUAUUAAUACAGUCAUGUAGCCGGCAUCACAAGCAAGGUACAACACCAAGACAGAGUAUACUAGGUAGAGUCAGUCACCAUGACACCUUUAUCAAAAUCAAAGUCUGUUUGUGAACUCUGUCUUACUCCAAUAAUCUCGUCAUGCAUUCCUUUCUCAGGUCCACAGUGUUUAUUCCAUAGCUUGAGAGUAAACCUUGAAGCCCUGAGUAAAAUCACCAACUUUGGUCUCCUCCUGAUGCUGUUCCAUUUCAACUGAACAACAUUAGGACUGAAAUACUUCAUUUCCAAGAUGAAAAAUCCCAGGCCCAGAGAGGUUGUGGGACUUGAGGCAACGUGGCUGCCAGGCCUGGGCCUGCUUCUCCAUCUAAGUGCACUUUGAAUCACUACAAAUUCAGGUUCAGAUGUCCCAGGCUAUAAACUCUGAGAAACAUACAAGUGCCCAGGCAUGGUGGCCCAUGCCUGGAAUCCAGCACCAGGGAGGCUGAGGAUUGCAGUCAGCUGGAGGCCAGCCUAGGCUACAUAAAGAGCCUGGAUUAGAAAGCAAAUCCCUGUCUAAAAUUAACAUCAAUGGGCCAGGGAUUUAGCUCAGUGGUUCUGCUGCCUGCCUCGCAAGCGCAAGGUCCUGAGUUUAAUCCCUGGUACAAAAAAAAACACCAGUAGAAAUAAAAAUGACAUCAAUAAAUAAAGAGAACAGCUUUAUGGUUCUACUGUAACUACAGCAUGUCCCCCUUGAAUACUUUUCUUUUUUGUAGUGCUAGGGAUCAAAGCCGGCAUGCCCUUUCACAGAGCUACAUCUCCAGUUCUUUUUAUUUUGAGAGAGGGUCUUGUUAAGUUGCCCAGGCUGCCCUCAAACUUACUAUCCUCCUGCUUCAGCCUCCUAGAGCACUGGAAUUAUAGGCAUGUGCCACUGCACCUGAUGAGAAGAAUUUAAAGCAACACAGAGUAGGUAGAAAAAUGAAAGCAAUGGUUACCCUUAUUUCCAUUACUGCAAGAUCAUUGCUGUUAAUAUUUUGGCAUGCUUUUCCAGUCUUUUGGGAAGGAGGAUUUUUGAGACACGAUCUCACUAUGUAGUCCAGGCUGGCUUCAAACUCACAGUAAUUCUCCUGCUUCAGCCUCUCGAGUGCUGGGAUUAUAGACAUGUGCCAGCCACCCCACUGGGCUAAUCUUUUUUCUAUGUAGCAAGAAAACCACCUGACAACUUAUAGAAUGCAUUGCCUUCUAGUUUUGAAACUCAGGCCUGCUGUAACCCUGAUUUCCUUGUCUUUAAUCCAUAUUGGCAACCUCAGUUUUAUGCAUGCCUACUCUUCUGUGUCACCACUGCGUCCUGCUUUCUCUCAUUAUUUCUCACAUUGGAGCGUUCUGGUUGCUUCCUGGAC